UAUGCGUGGAUCCUGCUUUGGGCUUGAUCAUCUAGAAAUCCACCUGAAGAGCAGAGGCAUCGUUUCCCGACCACAAAUGAUGGAUUCUGGGAAGCCUUUGAGAAAACCACUUGAUUCUUUACACAUCCAACAAAGACCUUUUCCUUGAGCUGGGACUGAAAUUCAAGGCUGCUCCUUUAUGGUCUCCUAUCAUCAAAAGAUGCAGGGACAAAUGAAGAGACAGAUAGAAGCAUCUCAAGAACAGGAGGGGGCAUAGUGUUCUCUGGAGAGGAAGAGGAACAGAGCUGUUGACAGUGGCACUGUCUUUGGUCUCCUGUGGGAAUCGUUUGGAUGGUGUUCUAUUGUAGGUGACGGCCAGUUACUGGCCACUUCCUCAGCAGCUCUCUAGGGCAUUAGAGAAUGGAUGUUUCCUCGGGAAAUUGCUCCCAAUCUAUGCCAGGGGAGGAGGUUUACUCUCUCUGGCCUGUUUCAACCUUUCAACCACUUUGAGUCCUAUGUGCAUGUGUCAUUUCUUUCUAAGAUCCUGGGAGGUGUGCCCAUUGGCAAACCUUCCUUUUCCAUUGCAGGUGAUGGUUCCCAUCCAGAAAUAAAAAUUUAUGUUCACGCGAAAAAUUUUCACAGGCAGUUCCUAGCAGCUCUCUUUCUCGUAGUGAAACUCUGUGCCCCCCCCAAAAUGUC
rnacentral:lncRNA from 1 species